rnacentral:rRNA from 1 species
UACGGAGGGUGCGAGCGUUGUCCGGAAUCACUGGGCGUAAAGGGUGCGUAGGCGGCUGUGCAAGUCUGGCGUGAAAGCCCCGGGCUCAGCCCGGGAAGUGCGCUCGAAACUGCACGGCUCGAGUGCCGGAGGGGAGAGUGGAAUUCCUGGUGUAGCGGUGAAAUGCGUAGAUAUCAGGAGGAAUACCGGUGGCGAAAGCGACUCUCUGGACGGCAACUGACGCUGAGGCACGAAAGCGUGGGGAGCAAACAGG